rnacentral:lncRNA from 1 species
GCCUUUCAUUGAAGGGAGCCGCGAGUUUCAAAUGCAGCGGCGUUUGCCAUGAUUCCCUGGGCCUGGCUUUCAGCGUAGCAAUUCUUCCGGCGAAGAAGGUGAGCGCAGUGCUGUGUGGCGGCAGAGCUGAGGACGAGGAGCAGCGGGACAAGGAAGGGCGACUCUGGUGAAAUCGCAAACUAGGUAUCUGUUCCGGCGCGGGACCCCUGUAUGCAAAGGUCCAUGGCUAAUGAAACACAGAAAGUUGGUACCAUCCAUUUUCCUUUUCCCUUCACGCCCUAUUCCAUCCAGGAAGACUUCAUGGCAGAGCUUUACCGGGUUUUGGAGGCUGGCAAGAUUGGGAUAUUUGAGAGUCCAACUGGCACUGGAAAGUCCUUAAGUCUUAUUUGUGGAGCCCUCUCCUGGCUCCGUGACUUUGAACAGAAGAAGCGUGAGGAAGAGGCACGACUCCUUGAAACUGGAACUGGCCCCUUACAUGAUGAGAAAGAUGAAUCCCUGUGUCUGUCGUCUUCCUGCAAAGGGGCCGCAGCCACCCCGAGGCCUGCUGGAGAGCCGGCCUGGGUGACUCAGUUUGUGCAGAAGAAAGAAGAGAGGGACCUGGUGGAUCGACUAAAGGCGGAGCAGGCCAGGAGGAAGCAGCGAGAAGAACGCCUGCAGCAGCUGCAGCACAGGGCGCAGUUCAAAUAUGCAGCCAAGCGCCUGAGGCAGGAAGAAGAAGAAACGGAGAAUCUCCUCCGCCUCAGCAGAGAGAUGCUAGAGACAGGCCCGGGGGCUGAGCGGCCGGAGCAGCUGGAGUCUGGGGAGGAGGAGCUGGUCCUUGCCGAAUACGAGAGCGACGAGGAGAAAAAGGCAGCGAGCGGAGUGGAUGAGGAUGAGGAUGACCUGGAGGAAGAACAUGUAACUAAGAUUUAUUACUGUAGUCGGACACACUCCCAGCUGGCCCAGUUUGUGCAUGAGGUGAAGAAGAGCCCCUUUGGCAAGGAUGUUCGGCUGGUCUCCCUUGGCUCCCGGCAGAACCUUUGUGUCAAUGAAGACGUGAAAAGCCUAGGUUCUGUGCAGCUUAUCAACGAUCGCUGUGUGGACAUGCAGAGAAGCAGGCACGAGAAGAAGAAAGGAGCUGAGGAGGAGAAGCCAAAGAGAAGGAGGCAGGAGAAGCAGGCGGCCUGCCCCUUCUACAACCACGAGCAGAUGGGCCUCCUCCGGGAUGAGGCCCUGGCAGAGGUGAAGGACAUUGAGCAGCUGCUGGCCCUUGGGAAGGAGGCCCGGGCCUGUCCCUAUUAUGGGAGCCGCCUUGCCAUCCCUGCAGCCCAGCUGGUGGUGCUGCCCUAUCAGAUGCUGCUGCAUGCUGCCACUCGGCAGGCUGCGGGCAUCCGGCUGCAGGCACAGGUGGUGAUCAUCGACGAAGCGCACAACCUGAUAGACACCAUCACGGGCAUGCACAGCGUGGAGGUCAGCGGCUCUCAGCUCUGCCAGGCCCAUUCCCAGCUGCUGCAGUACAUGGAGCGAUACGGGAAGCGUUUGAAGGCCAAGAACCUGAUGUACCUGAAGCAGAUCCUGUAUUUGCUGGAGAAAUUCGUGGCCGUGCUGGGGGGGAACAUUAAGCAAAAUCCCAAUACACAGAGCCUCUCACAGACAGGGACAGAGCUGAAGACCAUCAACGAUUUUCUCUUCCAGAGCCAGAUUGACAACAUCAACCUGUUCAAGGUGCAGCGAUACUGUGAGAAGAGCAUGAUCAGCAGAAAGCUCUUUGGAUUCACAGAACGGUAUGGAGCAGUGCUCUCAUCCCGGGAGCAGCCCAAACUGGCUGGGUUUCAGCAAUUCCUGCAGAGCCUGCAGCCCAGGACGACUGAAGCUCCUGCAGCCCCCGCAGACGAGAGUCAGGCUAGCGCCCCGCGACCAGCUUCCCCACUGAUGCACAUCGAAGGCUUCCUGGCAGCUCUCACUACAGCCAACCAGGACGGCAGGGUCAUCCUGAGCCGCCAAGGCAGCCUCAGUCAGAGCACCCUUAAGUUUUUGCUCCUGAAUCCAGCUGUGCACUUUGCCCAAGUGGUGAAGGAGUGCCGGGCAGUGGUCAUUGCAGGGGGAACCAUGCAGCCGGUGUCUGACUUCCGGCAGCAGCUGCUGGCCUGUGCCGGGGUGGAAGCUGAACGCGUGGUGGAGUUUUCCUGUGGUCACGUGAUCCCUCCAGACAAUAUCCUGCCCCUUGUCAUCUGCAGCGGGAUCUCCAACCAGCCGCUGGAAUUCACGUUCCAGAAAAGAGAGCUGCCUCAGAUGAUAUUCCAGGAACCUAAGAGCGCGCACCAGGUGGAGCAGGUGCUGCUGGCAUAUUCCAGGUGCAUUCAGGCCUGUGGCCAGGAGAGAGGCCGGGUGACGGGGGCCCUUCUCCUCUCUGUUGUUGGAGGAAAGAUGAGUGAAGGGAUCAACUUCUCUGACAACCUAGGCCGGUGUGUGGUGAUGGUGGGCAUGCCCUUCCCCAACAUCAGGUCUCCAGAGCUGCAGGAGAAGAUGGCCUACUUGGAUCAAACCCUCCCCAGAGCCCCAGGCCAGGCGCCCCCAGGGAAGAAUCUGGUGGAGAACCUGUGCAUGAAGGCCGUCAACCAGUCCAUAGGCAGGGCCAUCAGGCACCAGAAGGAUUUUGCCAGCAUAGUGCUCCUGGACCAGCGAUACGCCCGGCCCCCUGUCCUGGCCAAGCUGCCGGCCUGGAUCCGAGCCCGUGUGGAGGUUAAAGCUACCUUUGGCCCUGCCAUUGCUGCUGUGCAGAAGUUUCACCGGGAGAAGUCGGCGUCUUCCUGAUGGGCAACCACACCACCGCCUGGCGCCGCGCCCUUCCUUUGCCCUGCCCGCUGGAGACAGUAUUUGUCGUGGGCCUGGUCUACAGGGAUCCUGUUACAAGGGUGAAACCCGGGAGGAGAGUGUGGAGUCCAGAGCGCUGCCAGCGCCCAGGCACAGGCAUUAGCUCCCGUAGGAGAAAAUGGGGGAAUCCUGAAGAAACAGUGGGUCCUGGCUGGCCUUGGGGCAUUCCAGGGCAGCUCCCCUCCUGGCAUAGAAUCUUCCUUUCCAUCCUGCAUGGCUGAGAGCCAGGCUUCCUGCCUGGUCUCCACAGGAAGCUGUGGCAACUGUGGCAUCCACUGUGGCAUCUCCAUCCUGCCCACCUUCUUAAGAGUUGAGAUAGAGCAGGCCUGUUUGCCUCUGCCCUUUCUAGCCAAGGUUAACUGCCCUGGACUGCUCAUCCUCUGGUCUCAAUUUAAAAUGAUCCCAUGGCCGCAGGGCUCCUGCCCAGGGACUUGUCACCUGCCCCUCCUUCCUGAGUCACACCUGCAGCCCUGCUCCCUAACCUGUCCCACAGCCCUGCCUGGAUUUGUGUCUCUCUGGCUUCGCACCAGUUCCUCCGCAUCUGUGGCACCUCCUUCCCUCUCAACCACUUAAACAAACUCCAAGACACCUUCUACCCCACACCAUCAAUUAUGCCAAGGGCCAUUAGGCUCUCAACAUGACUAUAGAGACCCCGUGUCAUCACGGAGACCUUUUUUCCUGUGGGAAAAUAUCCCUCCCACCUGCAACAGCUGCCCCUGCUGACUGCGCCUGUCUUCUCCCUCUGACCCCAGAGAAAGGGGCCGUGGCCAGCUGGCAUCUUCUGCCGCCAUUAGGGACCAACGGGGGCCAGAGGAGAGUCACUGAUGCCCAGAUGUUUGCAUCCUGCACAGCUACACGUCCUUAAUUAAAAGUGUACUUUUGGUU